UAAAUUCUCUCUCUUCCCAUGCAAACACGUCCCUUCCUCUCUUCUUUCUCUCUCUCCCCCAUAUCUCUCUCUCCCGUAUCUUCCUCUCUCUGCGUUCUCUCUUCCAUGGAAAAGAUUGCGCCGGCGCUAGCUUCCUCUCUCUAUUCUCUCUCCCAUGGACAAAGAAACCAUCGUCUCUCUCCGAACUGAAGCAAGCGAGUUUCCGGGGGGAUGGAUCCAAAGUUGCUUUCACAUCUGGAUCUGAUUCACCUCAAAAAGAAAACGAAAAUCAUCUGGAUCAGAUUGGCGAUGCGUCUGGCCAAUUUUUUCUCUCUACCAUGGAGAAAGAAACCAUCGUCUCUCUCCGAACUGAAGCAAGCGAGUUUGCGGGGGGAUGGAUCCAUAAUUGCUUUCCACAUCUAGAUCUGAUUCACCUCAAAAAGAAAAAAAUUCAUCUGGAUCAGUUUAGGGUCUACAACAACGGCGUGUGAUAUGCUUAAUGCAAGAGGUGUAAGCAGCAUGCAGGAGAUAUAUAACGUCAUUUGGAAAGAUAAAACAUGUUGACACCAAGCGUACUACUGAUGAAAGCACAUCUGGAAAUUUAAUCUGUUCAUGAUACAAAAAGGUUAUGUCUUCAUGGCAUAAAAUUGUAAGGUAACACUUCAUUGAUUUUUUCAUCCAGUUGAAGGUAAGAAGAUGCUUAUUUUCUUGCGUACAAGAGUAAAAGUUCUAAAAUAUAUCCUAAUAGAAGAACAAAGCUUCACAUUUCCUAGCAUCAAUGUUAUUUCCAUAGGAUGUGGCUAGAAGAUUUACUUAUCAGGUAGGUAUGAAUAUUUGUUGAAAUUAUUAAUUCGAUGUUUUUUGCAUCUUAACACCCAUUUAUUUAGCAUAUGUCCUUGGUGUAGCAACUUACAUCAGAAUUACGAAGGAAACACAGACAACUCAUGGAAUUUCGAAGGUCUGGAGAUAUUUCACUUUCAAGUUGAGCGACUAUAAUGGAAGAAGUAAAAUAAGUACAAUUACGAUGGUUGAUAAUCGAAACGAUUGUGUGUACGAGCUGCUUCAACGUCUAAUUUGUGUACGAUGCAAAAUAUGAUGCUUUGCUACACUUCUGUUCAUGGCACCAACUAUUUGAUUUGGCGAGUCAUAUAUAAAAACCGGCCAAGUAGUGUCGUACUUCCAGCACAGUUUCUUGGAAAUUGCUAGGACUCUUGGAAUAUACAUUGAUUAAAAAUAAAUAAGGUUACUAUAAGGUGAGAAGGUCAACCAAUCAACAUUCCGCCUAUCGUGUUGUCAUAGUAAUAGCAACAACUGUCAGAAAAUUGACAUGUUUGUAUUUCUUUUGAUAGCAAAUAAGUGUUCCUCCGUGUUCAUUUAUUGUAUUUACAAAAUUUAAUAUCAAGUUCAUCCAGAGUACUUGCUGUCAUCCACAUGUGAGACCAAAGUUUAUGUCAUUUUGAAUAUCCCCGAAACAGUUGAGCUCCAAAUGUGGUGCAAUAGCGUUUCUGCAAUUAUAUAAAUAAAAGUAGUCUAUCAUGCGCGUGAAUGUUUCCCUGUACAUGCAAAAAUAGGCUUUGCUCUCAAGAUGAUAUUGUAUAUGAAAUAGAGCUAGAAUAUUUCUUUUAUAUAUCUCAUGUACUAAAUUAACCUACAAUUGGCAUAAAAUGUUUUAUACUGCAGAAGCAACAAUAAUGAAUCAAUUAGUACAUCAGAUGGGUGGUACUAUACAUGGUAACCACUUCUACAUUCACAGGUAUAAACUUGAGCUAUAAAUAUGUGAUUUUAUGGGAACAUCAACUUGCACCAUAUGUUUUAGACAUAAGAAAAAAGAUUGGUGAUGCAAUCUGCAAGAUUCUUGAUGUAGAUACAUAUAAGUGUGAUAUCCAUGGGAGGACAAAAUAAAUCCAGGAAGUAUGUGGACAGAGAUUCACAUAUCAGUUCACAUUUGAUAUCUAUAACACUGUGUAUGGAAUAUUUUUCAUAGGUUCUGAAACGGAUUUGUCAAUAUACUACAUGCGGACAAAGUUUGUAAACCAUAACUAGAAUAGAAAGUGGCUUACUGGACCGGGGAGAUGGAAGAGGUCAAAAGAAAAAUUGGAAAAUGUAUCCUUUUUCUAUUAUGAUGCUACAUGCUUUUUAUUACUUAUGUUAUAUUUGUAACCAUUAUAUUUGUGGUAAUUAGCACAAUUUUGCUCAUGUUUUUGUAGAGGCAUGCAUGUUGGCAAUGAUAAACUAAUUGUGAAGAACAAAAAAAAUUCUCGAACCAAGAACACAUGUAGUGUUGGAUAUUUCUACAGUAGUGAGGAUAAAGAUGAAUCCAUAUUUAAGGAAUUAAACCUAAGAGAAAUCUUACAAUAGCUCGCAUAUGUGCCGCAUUGACUAUACUUAUGUUGCAGAUUCAUAAAAGGAAGGGAAAGUUAUUUGAACACCAACCAAAGCGUACUAUCACGAAUAAAAUGAGUUCAAAAGUAUAACCAUGUAAGCUUUUCUGGUGCAGUCGCAUGUUCUUGCAGAUAAAUUUUCAUAGCAGUGUUGAUAAAGAAUUGGCUACCAAGAAUUUCAGAAGGUUGGAGCAUCAAGACCUCGAAAGACAAGUGGCAUGUUGAUGGAUAUUUGAUAAAAACUAGGAUGUAGUCGAAUAAAUGGGAGCAUUAAUUUUGUACUUUACAUUUAUACUUCGAUGGUAAU